CCUACGGGAGGCUGCAGUGAGGAAUAUUGGUCAAUGGACGAGAGUCUGAACCAGCCAAGUAGCGUGAAGGAUGACUGCCCUAUGGGUUGUAAACUUCUUUUAUAAAGGAAUAAAACGAGGCACGUGUGCCUUUUUGCAUGUACUUUAUGAAAAAGCAUCGGCUAACUCCGUGCCAGCAGCCGCGGUAAUACGGAGGAUGCGAGCGUUAUCCGGAUUUAUUGGGUUUAAAGGGUGCGUAGGCGGGAUGCCAAGUCAGCGGUAAAAAUGCGGUGCUCAACGCCGUCGAGCCGUUGAAACUGGCGUUCUUGAGUGGGCGAGAAGUAUGCGGAAUGCGUGGUGUAGCGGUGAAAUGCAUAGAUAUCACGCAGAACUCCGAUUGCGAAGGCAGCAUACCGGCGCCCUACUGACGCUGAGGCACGAAAGCGUGGGUAUCGAACAGGAUUAGAUACCCGAGUAGUC
rnacentral:rRNA from 1 species